rnacentral:rRNA from 1 species
AACGAACGCUGGCGGCAUGCCUAACACAUGCAAGUCGAACGAGACCUUCGGGUCUAGUGGCGAACGGGUGCGUAACGCGUGGGAACCUGCCUUUAGGUUCGGAAUAACUCAGAGAAAUUUGAGCUAAUACCGGAUGAUGUCUUCGGACCAAAGAUUUAUCGCCUUUAGAUGGGCCCGCGUUGGAUUAGCUAGUUGGUGGGGUAAAGGCCUACCAAGGCGACGAUCCAUAGCUGGUCUGAGAGGAUGAUCAGCCACACUGGGACUGAGACACGGCCCAGACUCCUACGGGAGGCAGCAGUGGGGAAUAUUGGACAAUGGGCGAAAGCCUGAUCCAGCAAUGCCGCGUGAGUGAUGAAGGCCUUAGGGUUGUAAAGCUCUUUUAACCGAGAUGAUAAUGACAGUAUCGGGAGAAUAAGCGCCGGCUAACUCCGUG